rnacentral:lncRNA from 1 species
AUGACGACCCACAGCCUGAGGAGCAGCAGGGCUUACAGCAGCUGGACUGGGAACAGCAGGGCUUACAGCAGCUGGACUGGGAACAGCAGGGCUUACAGCAGCUGGACUGGCAGCAGGAUGACCCACAGCCUGAGGAGCAGCAGCAGGGCUUACAGCAGCUGGACUGGGAACAGCAGGGCUUACAGCAGCUGGACUGACAGCAGGAUGACCCACAGCCUGAGGAGCAGCAGGGCUUACAGCAGCUGGACUGGGAACAGCAGGGCUUACAGCAGCUGGACUGGGAACAGCAGGGCUUACAGCAGCUGGACUGGGAACAGCAGGGCUUACAGCAGCUGGACUGGCAGCAGGAUGACCCACAGCCUGAGGAGCAGCAGCAGGGCUUACAGCAGCUGGACUGGGAACAGCAGGGCUUACAGCAGCUGGACUGACAGCAGGAUGACCCACAGCCUGAGGAGCAGCAGCAGGGCUUACAGCAGCUGGACUGGGAACAGCAGGGCUUACAGCAGCUGGACUGGGAACAGCAGGGCUUACAGCAGCUGGACUGGGAACAGCAGGGCUUACAGCAGCUGGACUGGCAGCAGGAUGACCCACAGCCUGAGGAGCAGCAGCAGGGCUUACAGCAGCUGGACUGGGAACAGCAGGGCUUACAGCAGCUGGACUGGGAACAGCAGGGCUUACAGCAGCUGGACUGGGAACAGCAGGGCUUACAGCAGCUGGACUGACAGCAGGAUGACCCACAGCCUGAGGAGCAGCAGCAGGGCUUACAGCAGCUGGACUGGGAACAGCAGGGCUUACAGCAGCUGGACUGGGAACAGCAGGGCUUACAGCAGCUGGACUGGGAACAGCAGGGCUUACAGCAGCUGGACUGACAGCAGGAUGACCCACAGCCUGAGGAGCAGCAGCAGGGCUUACAGCAGCUGGACUGGGAACAGCAGGGCUUACAGCAGCUGGACUGGGAACAGCAGGGCUUACAGCAGCUGGACUGGGAACAGCAGGGCUUACAGCAGCUGGACUGGCAGCAGCCACAAGAGCCACAGCCCCCCUUGGAGCCCCCACAGGAGCCACAGCUAG